rnacentral:rRNA from 2 species
AGCGAACGCUGGCGGCAGGCCUAACACAUGCAAGUCGAACGCCCCUUCGGGGGAGUGGCGGACGGGUGAGUAACGCGUGGGAACGUGCCCUUUGGUACGGAACAACUGAGGGAAACUUCAGCUAAUACCGUAUGUGCCCCCAUUCUUAGCGGGAUGGGUGGGAAAGAUUUAUCGCCAUUGGAGCGGCCCGCGUUAGAUUAGCUAGUUGGUAGGGUAAUGGCCUACCAAGGCGACGAUCUAUAGCUGGUCUGAGAGGAUGAUCAGCCACACUGGGACUGAGACACGGCCCAGACUCCUACGGGAGGCAGCAGUGGGGAAUCUUGCGCAAUGGGCGAAAGCCUGACGCAGCCAUGCCGCGUGAAUGAUGAAGGUCUUAGGAUUGUAAAAUUCUUUCACCGGGGACGAUAAUGACGGUACCCGGAGAAGAAGCCCCGGCUAACUUCGUG